GAUGAACGCUGGCGGCGUGCCUAAUACAUGCAAGUCGAACGAGGUGCUUUUGUAGCAAUACGAGAGUAUCCUAGUGGCGAACGGGUGAGUAACGCGUUGGUGACCUACCCCAAAGUGUGGGAUAACAGACCGAAAGAUCUGCUAAUCCCGCCUGUGGUCUUCGGAUUUAGAAAUUGAUGACUAAAAGAGCAAUUCGCUUUGGGAGGGACCUGCGUCCCAUCAGCUAGUUUGUGAGGUAACGGCUCACCAAGGCGACGACGGGUAGGGGACCUGGGAGGGUGGCCCCCCACAAUGGAACUGAAACACGGUCCAUACACCUACGGGUGGCAGCAGUAGGGAAUAUUGCUCAAUGGGCGAAAGCCUGAAGCAGCAACGCCGCGUGUGCGAUGAAAGCCUUCGGGUCGUAAAGCACUUUUCUGAGGGAUGAGGAAGGACAGUACCUCAGGAAUAAGUCUCGGCUAACUACGUGCCAGCCGCCGCGGUAAGAC
rnacentral:rRNA from 1 species